rnacentral:rRNA from 1 species
AUUGAACGCUGGCGGCAUGCCUUACACAUGCAAGUCGGACGAGUGGCGAACGGGUGAGUAAUAUAUUGGAACGUACCGAGUAAUGGGGGAUAACCAAUCGAAAGAUUGGCUAAUACCGCAUAUUAUUCGUGCGGCCAAUAUCUGAUUAGCUAGUUGGUGGGGUAAAGGCCUACCAAGGCGACGAUCAGUAGCGGGUCUGAGAGGAUGAGCCGCCCACAGGGGACUGGGACACGGCCCAGACUCCUACGGGAGGCAGAGUGGGGGAAUUUUGGACAAUGGGCGCAAGCCGGAUCCAGCCAUGCCGCGUGUCUGAAGAAGGCCUUCGGGUUGUAAAGGACUUUUGUUAGGGAGGCGGUACCUAAAGAAUAAGCACCGGCUAACUACGUGCCAGCAGCCGCGGUAAUAC